GAUGAACGCUAGCGGCAGGCUUAACACAUGCAAGUCGAGGGGUAGGGUUAGCUUGCUAACUUGAGACCGGCGCACGGGUGCGUAACGCGUAUGCAAUCUACCUUGUACAGAGGGAUAGCCCAGAGAAAGUUGGAUUAAUACCUCAUAGUAUCUUCGGAAGGCAUCUUCUGAUUAUUAAAGUUCCAACGGUACAAGAUGAGCAUGCGUCCCAUUAGUGAGAUGGUAAGGUAACGGCUUACCAUGGCAACGAUGGGUAGGGGUCCUGAGAGGGAGAUCCCCCACACUGGUACUGAGACACGGACCAGACUCCGACGGGAGGCAGCAGUGAGGAAUAUUGGUCAAUGGAGGCAACUCUGAACCAGCCAUGCCGCGUGCAGGAAGACGGUCCUAUGGAUUGUAAACUGCUUUUAUACGGGAAGAAACACUGCUACGGGUAGCAGCUUGACGGUACCGUAAGAAUAAGCAUCGGCUAACUCCGUGCCAGCAGCCGCGGUAAAAC
rnacentral:rRNA from 1 species